rnacentral:rRNA from 1 species
AAUCUGGUCUUGGGACACUGUCAGGUGGGCAGUUUGACUGGGGCGGUCGCCUCCCAAAAGGUAACGGAGGCGCGCAAAGGUUCUCUCAGUACGGUCGGAAAUCGUACGUAGAGUGUAAAGGCAAAAGCGAGCUUGAUUGCAAGACAUACAGGUCGAGCAAGGAUGAAAAUCGGACUUAGUGAUCCGGUGGUUCUGCGUGGA